rnacentral:rRNA from 1 species
GAUGAACGCUGGCGGCGUGCCUAACACAUGCAAGUCGAGCGAGAAGUAAAGAAAUGAAGCUUCGGUAGAUUUUCAUUAUGGAAAGCGGCGGACGGGUGAGUAACGCGUAGGCAACCUGCCCUGUACAGGGGGAUAGCCACCCGAAAAGGUGAUUAAUACCCCAUGAUGCAAGAGAUACACAUGUAUCACUUGUCAAAGAUUUAUCGGUAUGGGAUGGGCCUGCGUCUGAUUAGCUAGUUGGUAGGGUAACGGCUUACCAAGGCAACGAUCAGUAGCCGACCUGAGAGGGUGAUCGGCCACAUUGGAACUGAGACACGGUCCAAACUCCUACGGGAGGCAGCAGUGGGGAAUAUUGCACAAUGGGGGAAACCCUGAUGCAGCAACGCCGCGUGAAGGAAGAAGGCCUUCGGGUUGUAACCUUCUGUCCUAGGGGAAG